UACGAAGGGGGCUAGCGUUGCUCGGAAUCACUGGGCGUAAAGGGUGCGUAGGCGGGUCUUUAAGUCAGGGGUGAAAUCCUGGAGCUCAACUCCAGAACUGCCUUUGAUACUGAAGAUCUUGAGUUCGGGAGAGGUGAGUGGAACUGCGAGUGUAGAGGUGAAAUUCGUAGAUAUUCGGAGGAACACUAGUGGCGAAGGCGGCUCACUGGUCCAUUACUGACGCUGAGGUGCGAAAGCGUGGGGAGCAAACAGG
rnacentral:rRNA from 1 species